GGUGUGUCUGUGGGUCACCUGUCAGUGAAAAAUCAGGCCAAGAGCUUCCUUCGGUAGGAAUGAGGCAUUAGUACUAUUUUCAUGUGGAUUAUUAGAGGAACUGAUGUGGUUUGAAUUGAUGGUACCAGGAUGCUGUUAAGGAGCUGAAAGACCGGGGGCAUUUAAAAGGGCUUAUCUGUACUUGCCCCAGGACCUGUUCGUGCCUUUUGUUGUGUGCCCAUUAGCUGCAGUACUCAAAGUCCCGGAACUCCUUGAUUUGUGCCUCAGAAGGUGAUUUAGAAAGCUACUUUCCCUGCAGGAUUUUUGCUUUUAUCAGGCACAGCAUCUGUCUCUCAGUGUGGAGAGAAAUGCUGUUACAGCUGGAGCCCGAGUCUGGUUCCUGUACAUUUAUCUGUAUUUUGUACUCUGAAAUCUCUUGUCACAAGCAAGAUUCUCCUGCUGCAGUUUUCCCAACACCUACCCAGGUCUUUUAAAAAAUACCCUCUGUAGCAGCACAGAAGAGUCACUUAUUGCUGAAGGAUUUGAACAUAGCCAGUGUUUCCUUUUAGACAGGAAAGCCCUCCCAGUUGCCAGAGCUGAGUGAAAUGAUUGGGACUUUUGGAGGAAGGAGUAUUGGAGGCUCUGUGGACAGUGUUGAACAUUAGAAGCAUAGACACUGAUCCUGCCUUUGUGGUAACAACUGUAAUGAAAUGGGAGACUGUAAAAUCUCUGUGUGCACCUAAAGUGCAAACCUGUGUCCUGCUCUUCCAAUGAGCUGUGACAACAUCCUGAAGCUUUCACUAAAACCUGUGGCAAACACUAAAUCAAGUGUUGAUUUUUCUUAUUCCUCUCCUCUUCCUUUGUCAGUUGUGUGAAUACAAAUACAAUAAACCUUAUAGUUAAGGCCAUAAUCUUUGUUAUCUUUGCUGCCUGGUUUUCUCUCAUUCAAGAUUGUUAGGAGCUAAGGGGAGCAGUAGAGAAUUGUGCUGAUGACUUAGGAUGUGGAGAUUUCAGUGAGAAUAGGGAACAGUGCAGAGAAACAUCCCUGUUGGAUGUGCAGCACAGAUCAGAUGCUGUGUCCAGAUUAAGGAGCAGCCACUUCAAGAUCCUGCUUCUCCAGUCAUCCAGGUCAGGUCAAAGUAACAUCCAGUCAGGCUUUGCAUGGCAUGAGGCAGAAACAGGAUUUUCUAGCAUGGUGAGUACUUGUAGAAUCAACAGGCUGAUGAUUUCUAAUGACCAAGAAUUCAGGAGACACUGCAUCCUAAAUACGAGCAGAAGGGGGUCAGUAACCUGCCAAGUAAAUUCUCUUUCACCCCUACAUGUUUGAGAGGUGGCUUCAGGGAGGAAUUUAGGAAAGGCUCAUUGUGGAAUGACUUAAUGUGAGCUCUCAUGAGGAUGGAAAGGAGCACUACCAGGGGGAAGUUCACAAAUGGAGGUUGAAGGAGCUGUUUAAAAUUAUAAUACAGCUAGGGAUUUAAUGAUGAUGUUCAUGAGAAGACCUUGAGGGAUCAUGUAGCACAGGAUGUUUUUCCCUUUAGUACUCACUGAUUUCAAUUGUAAGCUCUUCUCUCUGUCAUUACUUUGCUCAAUGUAAACUUUUCCAGCCUCUUUGCCUUUUUUUUUUCUUUCCAGAGAAGACAGACCAGAAGUGUCUCUUUUUCCAGGUUUUAGUUUGCUGCUUU
ensembl:lncRNA